CAUUGCUUUAUAAUAACAUUUUUCGUAUGUUACCUAUCCUUACAUUACGUUGUUAUGAAUUGGCAUGUUUUUGGCAUAAAUCGGUCCAGGACUGUAACUAAUUAAUCCUGGUUCAGCCACUAGAUACACGUAUUUAUCUCAAUCUGUUUACGUUGUUGGAGUGUCCAUCAACAUAUCAACCUAAAAAGAGUGUGAAACUGUCCAUCAACAUAUCAACCUAAAAAGAGUGUGAAACGACACGGGUGCCGGAUGCCUCCUACUCCUAGCCGGCGCGCUCAUGCCCGUGUGUUGACGCUGGCUCCGACACCGCGCGAAGUCUAGAGGUGCUGGGCAACCGGUCAUCGAACUGUGAGGGUUCGACGACGGUGCCAGAAACGCUGGAUUCAGCCGCCGGAGUGCGAAGGGAGAAGCCCAAGCCUAGGUACUUGUUCGCUGCUGUGGCUUUAAUUCGGCUAUGAUUAUGAUUUCUAUGGUGCUUUGUAGAUUGUAGUUGUAGCCGUCCGAAUAGCUGAGAGUGUUCGUUUUGGACACUUAUCGACGACACUCAGCGCUUCGUCAAAGGUCGAACCAAUGGCACAAAAAUUAGAUCUUCGUUCUGGUAUGUAGAUAAACGAACUUGCUCCAGGUCAAAACCUUGGGAGGGGCUCUAGGUCCCUUGCAACAAGCUUGAUCGCCUGCUGUUUCAGGCAUCCACCACGGUGGUGAUUGGGAAUGGCAUCAAAGCAAAGUUCUGGCACCAUGGCUGGCUGGAUGGGGAGGCUCCACGCAACCUGGCACCUUACCUCUACAAGCUGAUCAGAAGGAAGAAUAAAUCUGUGGCCCAAGAACUGACUAACAGUGCUUGGAUUCAGUCUCUGCGAAGGAAAAUCACAACCACCACACAACUUGAGGAAUUUGUCUACCUCUGGACUAGGAUGCGACAGGUGAGCUUGCAGCCGGAUGUAGAGGACACUUUAGUCUGGAAAUGGACACAACACGGUCUCUACUCCUCCAGCUCAGCCUACAGAGCCCAAUUCUUGGGAUCCUACAUCAACCACAAGAUCAGCCUCAUUUGGCGGGCUAGAACAGAGAACAAAUGUAAAUUCUUCGCUUGGGUGCUCAUCCAAAAUAAACUCCUCACAGCAGACAACCUAGCACGUCGUGGAUGGCCACACCACCCAUCUUGCGCCCUAUGCAAUGGACCUAUAGAAUCAGGACUCCAUCUAUGCCUAACCUGCCCCUUCGCUCAUGAGGUCUGGAACACAGUUCUUGCUUGGGAAAGCUUUUCCCUGCCGCAACAUGUGGUUUGGAGCAACAUCUCCAGCAUUAGCGAGUGGUGGGAGAAGACAGAGACUCUCUUUCCGCAAGAUCGCAAAAGGGAGUUCAAUGGCCUGGUCAUCUACACUAUGUGGAACCUUUGGAAGGAGCGCAACCGAAGAAUCUUUGAGCAUUGCUCGCUGUCACCGCUCCAGAUCGCAGGGAGAGUAAGAGAGUGUGUCUUGCUCUAUAAAAGUGCGUCCAGCCGCCUUGGCUUGUACUAGGGUUGUCUGUCGUGUUCCUUCUUAGGUGCCCAAUCCUAUGGCCUGAGGGUUGCCGCCCCUAUGUACUCUAACUUUUUUCCUCUCUCUCUUAAUUGAAAGGCAGAGCUCCUGCCACUUCGUUCAAAAAAAUAAACGAACUUGCUCUUAAUCCCUAAAAACUAUAUGCGUAAACAAAGGGGCAGUAUACCUUGGAGGUUUGAUGAACUCGUCAUUAGGACAUUUUUUUCUCUGGCGACGGUGAACUUGGCGAUAGCCUUUUCUUUACUCUCUCGGAAUAGAAUAGAUCAGUUUCUGAACUUUGGGGAUCGGGUGUGACAGAGAUUCUCAUGCUAGUUUCAUCCUAACUUUUUAACUCCACGAUCCGCAACCAUCACAGGUUCUUCAGGACGCGUUAGAGUAGGACUGGUGUAGACUCGGUUAGGACAGACUAUACCGAGUUAUCCCUGCUAAUACGUCUCAAGCUUUUAGGGCUCUCGAGUCUCGAAAGAGCUGAGUCCACCCUGCAGGUAUCUUUGAAUGACAGUGAUUGUCGGUCUUCCUUACUACUAUGCCUUCCUCAUCUCACAUUGAGAGUGGCAAAGCACGCCAACACUACACCACAUCGCGAUAGACAGAGUACUUCAUAACUAAAGAAUGGUGGGAUGUUUCCUGUUCGUCAUCUUCAUGGAACGGCUGAAAUACAUACUGAAUGUGAAGCUAAAGGCACGAGUUGAGGUUUUACAGCAGUCACAAAGGAAUCUUCUUGGCGAAGAUCUAGCUGCACUUAGCCCAAGUGAACUUGACCAGCUUGAGAAUCAAGUAGACAAGACCUUAAGCAAAUAAGAUCAAGAAAGGUAAACUAAUUAAAUGGGAAGGGAUUCAGCCAUUCAGGAUGAAUGAGGUCAACUAUUAUAAUCCAUGCCAUUGCACUUUCAUACUUUAAAAUAUGUCUCAGUAAAUAUUAAUCGCCAGACUGCGAGAUCUAGGUUGCGCAGGUCCAACUGUAUGUUCCGUGUAGGAAUUGUUUCUAUUGUUUGUUCCAUGUAUUUUACUUGCAUUUCCAACUGCUCAGAUGCUUCCUCAAAGUUGAG